CACUUAGGGCGCAAGCGUUGUCCGGAAUUAUUGGGCGUAAAGAGCUCGUAGGUGGUUUGUUACGUCCGCUGUGAAAUCCUAGGGCUUAACCCUGGGCUUGCAGUGGAUACGGGCAGACUAGAGGUAGGGAGGGGAGAAUGGAAUUCCUGGUGUAGCGGUGAAAUGCGCAGAUAUCAGGAGGAACACCGGUGGCGAAGGCGGUUCUCUGGGCCUUAACUGACACUGAGGAGCGAAAGCGUGGGGAGCGAACAGG
rnacentral:rRNA from 1 species